rnacentral:rRNA from 1 species
GACGAACGCUGGCGGCGUGCCUAAUACAUGCAAGUCGAGCGGACCUCUUCGGAGGUCAGCGGCGGACGGGUGAGUAACACGUGGGCAACCUGCCUGUAAGACUGGGAUAACACCGGGAAACCGGUGCUAAUACCGGAUAAUCCUUUUCCUCACAUGGGGAAAAGCUGAAAGACGGUUUCGGCUGUCACUUACAGAUGGGCCCGCGGCGCAUUAGCUAGUUGGUGAGGUAACGGCUCACCAAGGCGACGAUGCGUAGCCGACCUGAGAGGGUGAUCGGCCACACUGGGACUGAGACACGGCCCAGACUCCUACGGGAGGCAGCAGUAGGGAAUCUUCCGCAAUGGACGAAAGUCUGACGGAGCAACGCCGCGUGAGCGAAGAAGGCCUUCGGGUCGUAAAGCUCUGUUGUCAGGGAAGAACACGUACCGGAGUAACUGCCGGUACCUUGACGGUACCCGACCAGAAAGCCACGGCUAACUACGUGCCAGCAGCCGCCGUAAUAC